rnacentral:rRNA from 1 species
GACGAACGCUGGCGGCGUGCUUAACACAUGCAAGUCGAACGGAAAGGCCCUGCUUUUGUGGGGUGCUCGAGUGGCGAACGGGUGAGUAACACGUGAGUAACCUGCCCUUGACUUUGGGAUAACUUCAGGAAACUGGGGCUAAUACCGGAUAGGAGCUCCUGCUGCAUGGUGGGGGUUGGAAAGUUUCGGCGGUUGGGGAUGGACUCGCGGCUUAUCAGCUUGUUGGUGGGGUAGUGGCUUACCAAGGCUUUGACGGGUAGCCGGCCUGAGAGGGUGACCGGCAACAUUGGGACUGAGAUACGGCCCAGACUCCUACGGGAGGAAGCAGUGGGGAAUAUGGCACAAUGGGCGGAAGCCUGAUGCAGCAACGCCGCGUGCGGGAUGACGGCCUUCGGGUUGUAAACCGCUUUCGCCUGUGACGAAGCGUGAGUGACGGGAAUGGGUAAAGAAGCACCGGCUAACUACGU